GGUCGGGUCCUGCGCAAGGAUGCACCGUGAACCGGGUCAGGGCCUGACGGCAGCAGCUCUCAGCGGAUCGCUUCCUGUGCCGCAGAUCACCUGACCGCU
rnacentral:SRP_RNA from 1 species